GUACACGAAAGGGAAAAGGGAAUUGUGGGAAACGUAAUCCAAGGGUUCAAGAUUCUAACUACUACAAACGUGAGCCAUCUUGGCUUUUGAAGCAUUUUACGAAAUUUGGGCACCAGACUACUGGAUUGUGUCCCUGCCGCGUUGAAUACGGAUGGUUUAUCUCUUUAAAGUCACAUAGCUGGCUGGCAGUGAAGAGCUGGACCGAGAAUGAAGUUCUCCCAACUCUCCUUUCCAUCAAACCAUACUGACUUCCUAAAACGUCCUCUCAUAAGGCCAGAGAUAGAGUUUUCUGAAGAAGCAAAUACAAGAGGGUCACAAAACACAGAUGAUUGCUAACACCUCAUGAGAGGUACAAAAUGUACAAAUAAAGACUUAUACGUUGAAAAUA